GAUGAACGCUGGCGGCGUGCCUAAUACAUGCCAGUCGAGCGAACAGACGAGGAGCUUGCUCUUCUGACGUUAGCGGCGGACGGGUGAGUAACACGUGGAUAACCUACCUAUAAGACUGGGAUAACUUCGGGAAACCGGAGCUAAUACCGGAUAAUAUAUUGAACCGCAUGGUUCAAUAGUGAAAGACGGUUUUGCUGUCACUUAUAGAUGGAUCCGCGCCGCAUUAGCUAGUUGGUAAGGUAACGGCUUACCAAGGCAACGAUGCGUAGCCGACCUGAGAGGGUGAUCGGCCACACUGGAACUGAGACACGGUCCAGACUCCUACGGGAGGCAGCAGUAGGGAAUCUUCCGCAAUGGGCGAAAGCCUGACGGAGCAACGCCGCGUGAGUGAUGAAGGUCCUCGGAUCGUAAAACUCUGUUAUUAGGGAAGAACAAAUGUGUAAGUAACUAUGCACGUCUUGACGGUACCUAAUCAGAAAGCCACGGCUAACUACGUG
rnacentral:rRNA from 1 species